UUAUAUUAGGAAUUUGAGGGAAGGCCGGUUCAUUUUGCUUCCACCCACCACUAACCUAUCUCGCUCCUUUUCGAUCCUAUUCUUCGGCGAAGGUGGUGUCCUUCCCUUCUCUUCGCUUCCUAGUUCAUUUCUGGGCCCAAACUUUUAAAUGGGGUGUCAGCAUUGCAAGAUAUUGCUGAUUUCCCGAAGCCACCUGAAAAGAUCUCUUAUCCUCAUCAAGCUGAAGAACUAGAACCUUGUCAGUGUAAUUCUCACGACGCCUGGAAUCGGGCUUUAUCAACUUACUUGCAAAAUACGGGAAUAUUACUUCAAUGAGGCACAAGAGGCACCUGUCCAAGAAUGAUCAGCCAGGUAUCUUCGAUGUUGAAGGAAUAAAUUGCUCAUUUGACCAUGAUGUAAGCUAACAGUUCUAGUCUUCCAAUCAUCGUGCUUAAAUGUGCAAGCAGGGAAACUACUAUGAAAAUAAGACAGCGAUUUCUCAACGUCACAAGGAAGAAGAAAAGGACAAGACAAGACAGCGAUUUCGCAGGAUGAUCAUCAUAAGCAGCUAAUUCUUCUCUUUAACAGUUCAUAGCCUGUUCUUCCGACUGCCUGCGUCUUCUGUUCUUCUACUCGUGGCGCCAAAGCUGUAGUCCCAUUAAAGAUUAACGAGUCUUGAUGUGCCAUUCUUAUCAUCCAUGUGGCGUCUGACGUGGACAGAAAGCAAGAACGCACCAUGGUUCUGGCGGUGCUUCAAACUUGUCACAUCAUGAUUUUGUCCGACACCAUAUACUACAGUAUUAGCCAGGUGGGUAUUCAUAUGUUGGAGUCCUUCCCACGGCGGUGGAAUCGAGCGAACUGGUCUUGUAGACGCCGUGGGAGGAGGGCAGGCCGGCACGAUUGUGAUGUUGGAAUGAGAUCACGAGUC